UGGGGAAUCUUGGACAAUGGGGGCAACCCUGAUCCAGCAAUGCCGCGUGUGUGAAGAAGGCCUUCGGGUUGUAAAGCACUUUCGGGAGGGACAAACAAGGUGGCGCUAACAUCGCCGCCUCUGAUGGUACCUCAAGAAGAAGCACCGGCUAACUCUGUGCCAGCAGCCGCGGUAAUACAGAGGGUGCAAGCGUUAAUCGGAAUUACUGGGCGUAAAGCGUGCGUAGGUGGUUCUUUAAGUCAGGUGUGAAAUCCCCGGGCUCAACCUGGGAACUGCAUUUGAUACUGAAGAGCUAGAGUGUGGUAGAGGAUAGUGGAAUUCCCGGUGUAGCGGUGAAAUGCGUAGAUAUCGGGAGGAACAUCAGUGGCGAAGGCGGCUAUCUGGGCUAACACUGACACUGAGGCACAAAAGCGUGGGUAGCAAA
rnacentral:rRNA from 1 species